AGCCGGGGCAGUAGCGGCGCCUUGUACCUGUGAAAUCCGCUAUAGCAGGGGUGAUGUUUGGUAAAGGGCAGAUUAUUUUGGAGCAGCCCGUCAGAAAACGGCGAUGACGUUUGGGUCUUUCGCAACGGAAAUCCACGAAUCAUGUCAGGUCGGGAACGAAGCAGCAUUAAAUGGAACCUUCCGUGUGCCGAAAGGGUGCCUGGAUCGAGCUUGGGUUUUGACGGUAACGUCCG
rnacentral:SRP_RNA from 1 species